rnacentral:rRNA from 1 species
UCUUACUUAAGUGGAAAACGAUGUGAAGUUACUUAAACAACCAGGAGGUUGGCUUAGAAGCAGCCAUCCUUUAAAGAAAGCGUAAUAGCUCACUGGUCUAGUGAUUUUGCGCGGAAAAUAUAACGGGGCUAAAGUAAGUACCGAAGCUGUAGACUUAGUUUACUAAGUGGUAGGAGAGCGUUCUAUUUGCGUCGAAGGUAUACCGGUAAGGAGUGCUGGAGCGAAUAGAAGUGAGCAUGCAGGCAUGAGUAGCGAUAAUUAAUGUGAGAAUCAUUAACGCCGUAAACCCAAGGUUUCCUACGCGAUGCUCGUCAUCGUAGGGUUAGUCGGGUCCUAAGUCGAGUCCGAAAGGGGUAGACGAUGGCAAAUUGGUUAAUAUUCCAAUACCAACAUUAGUGUGCGAUGGAAGGACGCUUAGGGCUAAGGGGGCUAGCGGAUGGAAGUGCUAGUCUAAGGUCGUAGGAGGUUAUACAGGCAAAUCCGUAUAACAAUACUCCGAGAACUGAAAGGCUUUUUGAAGUCUUCGGAUGGAUAGAAGAACCCCUGAUGCCGUCGAGCCAAGAAAAGUUUCUAAGUUUAGCUAAUGUUGCCCGUACCGUAAACCGACACAGGUGGGUGGGAUGAGUAUUCUAAGGCGCGUGGAAGAACUCUCUUUAAGGAACUCUGCAAAAUAGCACCGUAUCUUCGGUAUAAGGUGUGGUUAGCUUCGUACUAGGAUUUACUCCGAAAGCGAAGAAACUUACAACAAAGAGUCCCUCCCGACUGUUUACCAAAAACACAGCACUCUGCUAACUCGUAAGAGGAUGUAUAGGGUGUGACGCCUGCCCGGUGCUCGAAGGUUAAUUGAUGGGGUUAGCAUUAGCGAAGCUCUUGAUCGAAGCCCGAGUAAACGGCGGCCGUAACUAUAACGGUCCUAAGGUAGCGAAAUUCCUUGUCGGUUAAAUACCGACCUGCAUGAAUGGCGUAACGAGAUGGGAGCUGUCUCAAAGAGGGAUCCAGUGAAAUUGUAGUGGAGGUGAAAAUUCCUCCUACCCGCGGCAAGACGGAAAGACCCCGUGGACCUUUACUACAGCUUGACACUGCUACUUGGAUAAGAAUGUGCAGGAUAGGUGGGAGGCUUUGAGUAUAUGACGCCAGUUGUAUAUGAGCCAUUGUUGAGAUACCACUCUUUCUUAUUUGGGUAGCUAACCAGCUUGAGUUAUCCUCAAGUGGGACAAUGUCUGGUGGGUAGUUUGACUGGGGCGGUCGCCUCCCAAAUAAUAACGGAGGCUUACAAAGGUUGGCUCAGAACGGUUGGAAAUCGUUCGUAGAGUAUAAAGGUAUAAGCCAGCUUAACUGCAAGACAUACAAGUCAAGCAGAGACGAAAGUCGGUCUUAGUGAUCCGGUGGUUCUGUGUGGAAGGGCCAUCGCUCAAAGGAUAAAAGGUACCCCGGGGAUAACAGGCUGAUCUCCCCCAAGAGCUCACAUCGACGGGGAGGUUUGGCACCUCGAUGUCGGCUCAUCGCAUCCUGGGGCUGGAGCAGGUCCCAAGGGUAUGGCUGUUCGCCAUUUAAAGCGGUACGCGAGCUGGGUUCAGAACGUCGUGAGACAGUUCGGUCCCUAUCUGCCGUGGGCGUAAGAAGAUUGAAGAGAUUUGACCCUAGUACGAGAGGACCGGGUUGAACAAACCACUGGUGUAGCUGUUGUUCUGCCAAGAGCAUCGCAGCGUAGCUAAGUUUGGAAAGGAUAAACGCUGAAAGCAUCUAAGCGUGAAGCCAACUCUAAGAUGAAUCUUCUCUAAGCUCUCUAGAAGACUACUAGUUUGAUAGGCUGGGUGUGUAAUGGAUGAAAGUCCUUUAGCUGACCAGUACUAAUAGAGCGUUUGGCUUAUCUUUAAUAAAGCAU